UGCUCUGGAUAGGUUUGUAUGGGAAACGACGAAAGCAGCGCUUCGAACACUUUCCUGGCCUGGCAGUUCCUGUUAUCCUGGGCAGAGACUUCAUCAUCCGGCAGAAGUUGGUGCUGGGCCUGCCCAAUGGAGGGUACGUCUACCACGGCUCAUCGGGAUUUUUCCGCUUCGUAGCAGCACGGGAACACUGCACAGCACAGCAAGCUGUGGCAGUGUUGAAACGUCUGGGCUGCCGACUGUCUUGGGAUCAUUCUAUGGUCCCGAGGAGCAACGCCGUCAGCUUGAACAAGUAGUGCGGCAGUUUGACGAACUCUUUACGGAAAAACCGGCUCUUGACGAAAUGCUCCAAACCGGUGCAGUUCAAAGGCCCCAGACCCCUUGGGCAUUUCCUGUUGUUCUGCCUCCGAAACGUGAUAUGGAACACUUGGAACACCUGUCAAUCGUCCUUGCAAGGAUGAAUGAAGCGGGCAUAA